AGGAUCAUUACCGAAUCGUCAACAAGGGUUGUUGCUGGUCCUCAAACGGGGGCAUGUGCACGCUCUGUUCACACAUCCACUCACACCCUGUGCACCCUCUGUAGUUCUAUGGUCAGGGGGCCUGUCCUCCUGCUGUGGUUCUGCAUCUUUACACACACACACGCUGUAACAAAGUCUCAUGGAAUGCAUGUCGCGUUUAACGCAAUACAAUACAACUUUCAGCAACGGAUCUCUUGGCUCUCGCAUCGAUGAAGAACGCAGCGAAAUGCGAUAAGUAAUGUGAAUUGCAGAAUUCAGUGAAUCAUCGAAUCUUUGAACGCACCUUGCGCCCUUUGGCCAUUCCGAAGGGCAUGCCUGUUUGAGUAUCGUGAACACCUCAACUCAUUGUGGUUUUCCAUGAUGGGCUUGGACUUUGGGGGUUUUGCUGGCCUACGGUCGGCUCCUCUAAAAUGAAUCAGCUUACCGGUGUUUGGUGGGUAUCAUGGGUGUGAUAACUAUCUACGCUUAUGGUUUUUCCACCAGGUAACCUUCGGCAGCGGAGGUUCACUGGAGCUCAUAGACGUCUCUCCUUUGUGAGAACAGCCCUUUGAAUGUUUGAUCUUAAAUCAGGUAGGACUACCCGCUGAACUUAAGCAUAUCAAUAAGCGGAGGAAAAGAAACUAACAAGGAUUCCCCUAGUAACUGCGAGUGAAGC
rnacentral:rRNA from 1 species